CUCUCAGGGUGGGGCUGUGUCUUCAGACCCUGAGUCCUGUGCUGAGCUCUCUAACUGUGGUAGUGGCUUGAACUCCCCGGAUUGGUUCCAGCCUGUCAGGCUGUGGCUUCAGGCCCUGGGGCCGGUGCUGGCCUCUCUAGCAGUGGCUUCAGGCCCCAGGGCACGUGCUGGCCCUUUGGGCUGUGGCUUUAGGCCCUGGAGCUGGUGCUGGCCUCUCGAUGCCGUGACUCUGGCUUUAGGCCCAGGGCUGGUGCUGGCCUCUCAGGCUGGGGAUGAGUCUUCAGGAUGCAGCGCCAGUGCAGGCCUGCCUGCCUGUGGCUUCAGGCCCCGGGGUCUGUUUAGGCAUCUCGGGCUGUGGCUUUAGGCGCUGGGGUCGGUGCUGGCCUCUCUUGUGAUGGCUUUAGGUCACAGGGCCCUCAUGCCUCUCUGGCUGAGGCUUUAGGCCCCGGGGCUGUGCUGGCCACUCAGGCGGUGCCUUUAGGCCCUAGAGCUUGUGCCGGCCUAGAACAAGGUGCAUUUUAAAAUUGGUCAUGGAAGGAAAUGAAAGCAAGAGAGCACUGAGCUCUUCUGUGUGUUUCCUGGAUUGGGAUGGAGACAGGAGAGCGUGCUCAGCCUCCCUCGUGUGGUUGCUUGUAUCCAGCAACAGCAGCCGCAGCUGAGAACAUCGUCACAUCUUUAUUAGGCGCUCCUCCGUCUGUCUCUUUUUGCCUCUGUUUUCUGGAAUGCAGGGAUUUCUCUUUGUGGCCCACAAACUCUUUGUGCCAGGAUAACCAAGUAUGAAUUCUCACUGCUCUUUACCCUGCUCAAGAGAAGAUGGCUGUACUGUGAGGGCAGG
rnacentral:lncRNA from 1 species